CCUACGGGAGACAGCAGUGGGGGAUAUUGCACAAUGGGGGGAACCCUGAUGCAGCGACGCCGCGUGGGUGAAGAAGGGCCUCGGCGCGUAAAGCUCUGUCAGCAGGGAAGAAAAUGACGGUACCUGAAGAAGAAGCCCCGGCUAAAUACGUGCCAGCAGCCGCGGUAAUACGGAGGGGGCAAGCGUUAUCCGGAUUUACUGGGGGUAAAGGGGGCGCAGACGGCGGUGCAAGCCAGGAGUGAAAGCACGGGGCUCAACCCCGGGACGGCCCUUGGAACUGCGUGGCUGGAGUGCAGGAGGGGCAGGCGGAAUUCCUGGUGUAGCGGUGAAAUGCGUAGAGAUCAGAAGGAACACCGGUGGCGAAGGCAGCCUGCUGGACUACAACUGACGUUGAGGUCCGAAAGCGUGGGGAGCAAACAGGAUUAGAUACCCUGGUAGUC
rnacentral:rRNA from 1 species